GUCUAUAGCCAUACCACCCUGAAUGUGUCCAACCUCCUCUGGUCUUGGAAGCUAAGUAGGUUGGGCCUGGUUAGUACUGGGUCAGUUAAGGCGGCUGGAGUCU
rnacentral:rRNA from 1 species